rnacentral:lncRNA from 1 species
CCUGAAAGGGACAUUUGAAAAACGGAGGCAACGCGUCUAUUAAUUAGGUGGCGGCGCCUGGGGUCGCAGCACUCCAGAGGCUGAGAGUCUCGCCCUUUUGCCUAGUGGAGGAGCUCGGCUCACUGCAAGCUCCGCGCCACAACCCCCCUGCCGCCCCAGGUUCAAGAGAUUCUCCUGCCUCAGUCUCCCGAGUAGACUGGGAUUACAGGCGAGUGCCACCAUGCCCGGCUAAUUUUUGUAUUUUUGGUAGAGACGGGGUUUCAUUAUGUUGGCCAGGCUGAUCUCGAACUCCUGACCUCAAGUGAUCCGCCUGCCUUGGCCUCCCAAAGUGCUGGGAUUACAGGCGUGAGCCACAACGUUGGGCCAGAUCAUAAAUGUGGAACGAUGGGGACUUUGAGAGAUUUGUAACUGAAGCUGCCUUCAUGCUUGUUAGAAUGCUGGGGUGGAAGAGUUCCCAGUUUUAAAGGAGAAGUACAAGAAGACCUGUAAUUGUUAGCAAGAUAUACAGAACACAGUGCACACAGCAGCGCACUUCUCAAGUCAGCUCCAGGUUCAAGCUCAAAGGCCUAAAGUUUUGCAAACAUCUGGUGAAGAGGAAGAUUUUUGAGACUCUCCCAGCCUAUUACAUAAAGGAAACAUAACCGAGAAUUUUGUCUAAAGGUUUUCAUUUGAAACAAAGCAAGAGCUUCUUUUCCCCACUCCGAAUUAAAACACAGCGCAACAGGGGCCACAUUUAUUUGGCAGGACAGUACCAAUAUGUGAACAUCCUCCUCCUCACUGCCGUUGGGGUGACUUGACUCAUAAGCAGCUGUUCUUACACAAAAUAUUAACCCGAACUGCUAGUGUCACACAGAAGGAAGUGGUCUUGAUUGUGUAUGUGGGCCAGCAUGUUCUACAAAUGCUGAAAGGUGGGAGAAGCACAAAUACAACCCACUCUUUAAAAAAACUAAAUAAUUCAAAGUAAAAUUUUCUAUCCCCGCCCCCUCCCCACCCUUGCCUUCUCCAAUAAUAAAAAGUAGAAUCCAGAUUUGGUUUGUAUCCUGACCAUUCACAAAGUGUCGUGCCACAGCACUUGCAUCAUUAGGGUUAUGGAUGAUCACAGUUCAUUUGCUUUGAAGAGACGUGUGUCUGCUCCUUCCUCCUCUUCUUGCCUUCAUGCUCAUGUUCUCUGGGGCAGCUGCUGAGGGUCUUUGAGGGCCACCAUGCUGUCUGGCUUCUUCCAAAAAUGUGUCCAAAUC